rnacentral:misc_RNA from 1 species
AAUAUUUAUGAUAAUAUGAUGCACUAUUCCUUUUUAAAUCAUGGGAAUUUCCUUUUGUGUCUUUUAUUCAUGCAGUGGGCUUCUGUAGAGUAUUCAUUAUUCCACAUAUUAACAAUACAUGAACCAUUUACAUUUUUCAGUAAUAUUGUAUUUACCUAACUUUUAUGCAUUAUUUCACUGCUUGAUCGUUAAUGGGUUAAACCGAAAGUUAACAACAUGUCCCUCAUGUCAUAUUAUUGGUAUCGUGAGAACAAUCGUGUCUAUUUUACACUUGCACCCGAAGAGGUCUGCCCUGAAGAACUUUUUUCCUGAUGUUAUGACUGCCAUUGUGUUUCCUGAUUUUUAAACUGUCAUACAGUAAACUUCUUGCCACAUAGUUUCCCGCGGAAUAAAAAGCAUGGUGUUCUCUAGAAUGUGCCAAUUAUCGUAGAAAUCGUGUCGAGUUCGAACAACCAAUCAGAACCGAAAUAGAAAAAAGCGAGGUCUAAAGGACGACUAAUCAGGAAGCGGAUAUGCGUUAAUUAAUUUUUACGAGUGAAUACAUAUUUGCGAACAAUUAUUUGUCAAAUGUGAUUUCUUUACUUUCGUUCUUUGACGUCAUAAUAUGUAUUUUCUAUAUCCAUCAAGCUUACGUGAUACGAAAAACGUAGAUAACUUUAUGUUUCUGUAUGAGCUGAUUUAUCGAAUGGGUACAAUUUUUAUUAUGCGGCACGAACUUUAAAUAAAUUAUAUAUGAAUUCGAAUUCAAGAAGAGUAUUAUUAAUGAGGUUACAUUUAAUAGUAAUUCCUUAGAAUUCACUAAUAUUGUGUCUAAAAUAUUGUUAUCCAUCUUUCUCUAUUAAUUGAUUACUUAAUCUUUU